CCUACGGGAGGCAGCAGUGAGGAAUAUUGGUCAAUGGGCGCUAGCCUGAACCAGCCAAGUAGCGUGAAGGAUGACUGCCCUAUGGGUUGUAAACUUCUUUUAUAUGGGAAUAAAGUGCAGUAUGUAUACUGCUUUGCAUGUACCUUAUGAAUAAGGAUCGGCUAACUCCGUGCCAGCAGCCGCGGUAAUACGGAGGAUCCGAGCGUUAUCCGGAUUUAUUGGGUUUAAAGGGAGCGUAGGCGGGUUGUUAAGUCAGUUGUGAAAGUUUGCGGCUCAACCGUAAAAUUGCAGUUGAUACUGGCAGCCUUGAGUACAGUAGAGGUAGGCGGAAUUCGUGGUGUAGCGGUGAAAUGCUUAGAUAUCACGAAGAACUCCGAGUGCGAAGGCAGCCUGCUGGACUGUAACUGACGCUGAUGCUCGAAAGUGUGGGUAUCAAACAGGAUUAGAUACCCCAGUAGUC
rnacentral:rRNA from 1 species